rnacentral:rRNA from 1 species
UGCGUAGGCGGAAAAUUAAGUCAGUGGUGAAAUCCUGCAGCUCAGCUGUAGAACUGUCAUUGAUACUGAUUUUCUUGAAUUUAGUUGAGGUAGGCGGAAUGUGUAAUGUAGCGGUGAAAUGCUUAGAUAUUACACAGAACACCGAUUGCGAAGGCAGCUUACUAAGCUAACAUUGACGCUGAGGCACGAAAGCGUGGGGAGCGAACAGGAUUAGAUACCCUGGUAGUCC